rnacentral:tRNA from 1 species
CGGGGUGUAGCGCAGUCCGGAUAGCGCGUUUGAAUGGGGUUCAAAAGGUCCCGAGUUCGAAUCUCGGCACCCCGACCA